rnacentral:rRNA from 1 species
GUCUACGGCCAUGCUACCCUGAACAAACCCAAUCCCGUCUGAUCUCAGAAGAUAAGCAGAGUCGGGCCUGGUUAGUACUUGGACAGGAGACCACCUAAGAAGACGAGGUGCUGUAGGCA